GAAGAAAAAGAAGCUUCAAAAUCAAGAUCUUGAGAAAUUCUUGGAUAAAAGGGUAAGCUGACAUGCAUUUACACUCUCUUAACCAUUUUGUCUUCUCUUGUAUGAAAUCUGAACUUUAUCCUGAAAGAUGCAUUUUAUGGAUUCAGCUUCUCUCUAUAUGCUUCCCCAUGAGUUGCUCAUAUACUAUAUGAAGUAUCUUCAUUUCACCCUUUGUUAUGUUUUAGAGUCAUUCAUACUCUUUCUGUCAAUAAAUUACCUCGUCUUUGACCUUGGCUUUAACGGAGCUCGGAUCCAGUGUAAAGGUAUCUCCGCUAUACUUCAUGUUGGAGCUCCAUUGGGAUCAAGGACAAUCCCAAGACAAUUUGAUAACGUAAAGGUAAGAAUACCCCAAUAUGUAAAAGAGUAAAAUUAAGGUAUUUCGUAUAGUAAAAAGGUAUUUCUGACUCUUCUUCCUUUCUUUUAACUAUUACUAUGUGUUCUACCAAAACAAUGAAACUUAAAAUUAUCUUCUCUCUUUGGUCCAUGUUUCAGAGAUUAAUUCGACUUCAGAAGAAAUCGUUUGACAAAUUAAUCACAGAGCUGCAAUGAAAGGUUGCUGAGGAAGCAAUAUCUAAUGAGGUGUUGAAAAAUAAGGAAAUGUAUGAAGAAAUUGUACGGAAAGAAAGAUCGACUAAAUCUGAAA